rnacentral:lncRNA from 1 species
AUGAGACUAUUUAAAUGCAUGUGUUGUUUCACAGAUGUCCUCCAAACUGGAAAGGAGAAUACUGCCAGACCAGCGUUUUUAACACGGUUGCAUCUUCAGGUAGGUCAGGUUUCAGUUUCAUGGGAGAAUAUCUUACAGUACUUUAAACAACGUGAAAAUUAUGCGCUUUAUUUUCAUUCUCCUUGUUCUUCAGUCGGAAUAGCCAUUGGAGUGACGAUACUGGUUGUGGUGCUGCUGGUUUCUCUGGUCUUUGUUGCAAGGAGAAAGUCCAACCUGCUGCAAAGACUGCAGAGCAGUAUACCCAGUAUGCCAUCCAUGCCUAAUUUUUCAAAUUUCAGGAACGGUUACACCAAAAAUGGACCAAAACCAGACAACAGCGAUUCAAGUCAGACUGUAGAGGUUCCCUGCAUGUCCGUGUCCAUAGCUGAGACAGAGGGAAGGAGCUUUGAGAACCCGACGUAUGAAGAACAGCAGCAUGAUUCCAGAAGUGUGCCACCAGUUGCCUCUUCUCCUGCUGAAAUAAACAAGGUCAACAAACAAAAAUCACAUUCUAUUAACUCAGCUUGA